GGCCCCGUGGUGUAGCGGUUAACAUGUCUCCCUGUCACGGAGAAGAUCACCGGUUCGAUCCCGGUCGGGGUCGCCA
rnacentral:tRNA from 1 species